rnacentral:misc_RNA from 1 species
UCUCCGUAGGUGAACCUGCGGAGGGAUCAUUACCGAGUGAGGGCCUCCGGGUCCGACCUCCAACCCUUUGUCUACCGACCCUGUUGCCUCGGGGGUGACCCGGCGCUCUCGCGAGUGCCCCGGGGCCCCCGGUGGACCGUCAAACACUGCAUCUGUGCGUCCGAGUCAUAUUUGAAUAAAUCAAAACUUUCAACAACGGAUCUCUUGGUUCUGGCAUCGAUGAAGAACGCAGC